rfam:Operophtera brumata OBRT01_Sc15208, whole genome shotgun sequence.
CGUUCCAUGGCCGAAUUGGUCAAGGCAUUUUCGAUGCGGGUUCGAUUCCCGCUGGAACGG